rnacentral:rRNA from 1 species
CUUGGUCAUUUAGAGGAAGUAAAAGUCGUAACAAGGUUUCCGUAGGUGAACCUGCGGAAGGAUCAUUCACAAACGAGUGUUUUAUGGCACUCUUUAAAAAUCCAUAUCCACCUUGUGUGCAAUGUUUGUUGGGAAAGUCUUUUCUUUCCCUUCAUAAAUAUCAACCUAUAUCUUUAACAACAUUCGUCUGAUAACAUAUUAUGAAUAUACUUAAUUCAAAAUAUAACUUUCAACAACGGAUCUCUUGGCUCUCGCAUCGAUGAAGAACGCAGCGAAAUGCGAUACGUAAUGUGAAUUGCAGAAUUCAGUGAAUCAUCGAAUCUUUGAACGCAUAUUGCGCUCUUUGGUAUUCCGAAGAGCAUGCUUGUUUGAGUAUCAGUAAACACCUCAACCUCCUCUUGAUUUUUCAAAAGGAGGGUGGACUUGAGCUAUCCCAACAACCUUUACCGGUAGGCGGGCGGCUUGAAAUGCUGGUGCAGCUGGACUUUUAUCUGAGCUAAAAGCAUAUCUAUUUAGUCCUCGUCAAACAGGAUUAUUACUAUUGCUGCAGCUAACAUAAAGGAUAAUUGUCCUCAUUGCUGACUGAUGCAGGAUUUUACGACACUUUAUGUGUUGUUCAACUCGAUCUCAAAUCAAGUAAGACUACCCGCUGAACUUAAGCAUAUCAAUAAGCGGAGGA